CCUGUCUUUCUCUGGACAGUAGCCUACCGUCACAUGCGGUCUUGGCAACGAGACGGUAUGAAGCUGGCGGGACAAUGCAACCCAUCCUCGAAAGGGGUCAAGCUGAAUCUGUGAGGACAAAGCGAAUCUGCAAGCAUAAUGCGGAAGGGAGC
rfam:Candidatus Contendobacter odensis Run_B_J11, WGS project CBTK01000000 data, contig: COMPJ11_2695_Contig_169